rnacentral:tRNA from 1 species
GCAUCGGUGGUUCAGUGGUAGAAUGCGGGCGGGCGGCCCGGGUUCGAUUCCCGGCCGAUGCA